rnacentral:rRNA from 1 species
UACGGAGGAUCCAAGCGUUAUCCGGAUUUAUUGGGUUUAAAGGGUGCGUAGGCGGCCUAUUAAGUCAGGGGUGAAAGACGGUAGCUCAACUAUCGCAGUGCCCUUGAUACUGAUGGGCUUGAAUGGACUAGAGGUAGGCGGAAUGAGACAAGUAGCGGUGAAAUGCAUAGAUAUGUCUCAGAACACCGAUUGCGAAGGCAGCUUACUAUGGUCUUAUUGACGCUGAGGCACGAAAGCGUGGGGAUCAAACAGG